CAGCAGUGAGCUUUAGGUGUUUUCCAGAUGAAGUGUUGGACCAAAUGAGCCUACUGGUAUAUCAUUGUAAGGAGUCUGUAAAGGCAUCCUCUGUUUAAAGAUCUCUGCUUACUGCAUAGUGCAUCGUUUUUUCACAAUAUUGGAAGCCUGGCCAUGUGCAGAGAUUUUCUUAUCUAAGGAUACCAGCUGUUUACUGGAGGAUGAAACUAGUUGUUCCUUUCUCAAGCAAUGUCUGUCACAAGGAGACAAAAAUAACAGAGCAAACUAGUUCCCUGAAGGAUGUAUUUCUACUCAGUAGAAUCCAACAUUGCUUCUGUGAGCUCAUCUCUACUGCCUCUGACCCUUGACAGGUAAUCACAGAGUUCUAAUAAGAAAAAUUAUCCUCAAGUCCUUGAAUUGAUCUAGACAGGAUUCAGCAUUUUUAUGAUUGUUAAUCCUUGUAUAUUUCUCUCAAUUUUCCUUCCACUUUCGUAUUUCCUUUAACCUGACAAAGUGGAAGUAAGACAGGCAUGAUGUUGACCAUUUUAAAUAUUAUUUGUCUGUAGUGUUUUUUGGUUUGAGAAUAUGUAUGCAUUUCUGUAUUUGUCUAACUUUCCCUUGUUUUGUGUUUAAUGCAAUCUGUGUAAGUUGCUGAAAGAGGAACUUGACAGUGUGGAUGUGUACUCACAAUUUGCUCAAAGAAUUUCAACUAUGGGUCAGAGAUUUUUCUUUCUAAUCAGUGACAAUGUACAUAACCUUUCUGUCUGCUGUAAAUGUUCCUGUCUGUAAAAUGAGGCUUUACUUGCCUGCCUCACAGGCAUGUUGAAGCUUAAUUAGUGUAAGUAAUAAGUGCUAAGUUUUAUUUUAAAAGAUCUAUUGCUCUCUAAAAUGAUCAAGUUUGGAUCUUAUUUCACAGCUUUAUGAGCUAGGGUUCAGUUUUGACUACCUUAGA